UAACAUACAUUAGUGGUUAGCUGUAGAAUAUCAUAGACUGAUUCAUUUACAUGCUUGGUCAUCUUGUAAAAUCAUUUAGAAAUUAUUGUUGGAGGCGUCGUAAUUUCAACACUUUCUAAGAAUAGGGUCCGUAUCUCAUAUAAUUGCCAUAGACCCGGUUUUGUACACACUCGCUGAAGUAAAUUUCAAAGGAAACUGUUUUCCCCAUUUUUCUUAUUGUAAACGUGCAAUACUGUAGGUCCCUAGUUGCUGGAGUCACCAAAUGAGCAGGACUAAUUUCGACGUAAGCCAGUAAAAAUCUCGAUUUUGUCCAGGACUCUAGACGUAUUUUUCGGAUCGUUUUCGGUUUUCAUCCAGCGGCGUGGCUUUCAAUCCAGGUCAUUGUAAGUUUAGAGCUUGACGGUUUCGGAUGUGUUCGUUUAGAGUUGAAAUUGAAUCGGUUGUUGGUGGUUGCACACAAUCCAGGCCAUUGUCAGUUUAGAACUUGACGUUGUUGCAUGUGUUCGUUUUAGAGUUAGAAUUGAAUCAGUUGUUGGUGGUUGCACAUGUAUAUUGUGGGUUUGCAGCUUGAACAGAGUACCCCGCGGAAAAGACCUCAAAUACCAACAGGUGCACGUCAUCGGAUGACAUUGGCCGAUGACGAAAUGAUCUGAGAUUAGGUCAUUUACCUGAUGAAGAUACUAUUUUGAAUCCGGUUUAAAUACUGUUGUAUUUAAACAAGUUUAAAUAUUAAAAAGCAUAUUGAUGAUAAAGCAUUUAUUUAAAUAAUGAAAAUCAUAUUGUGGAUAGAGCAAUGAAAAGCAUACAUUGUAGAUAAAGCAUUAUUUUAUUUAAAGAUUUUAAUACCGAGAAGCACGAUAUGCAUAAACCAUUUUUUUUUAAUAAACAGAUUUAAUUUCUGUGAGGCAUGUUCUUCAUUUAGCCACUUUUUGAGACAGUUUUAAAUAUUAAGAAAAUAUUAAAGAGUUUUAAAUAUUUUUUUGUUAAAACAGGUUUAAAUACUGUGAAGGCUAAUUGUGGAUAACACUUUUUUUAAUACAUAUUUAAAUACCGUGAAGCAUAUUGUAGUUAACAAUAAAACAAGAUCGACUACUAACAUGUCUAUUAGUAUAUUAUAUGUUGUUUUGUAGGCAGUGGCUUAGCUAGAUGGGGUCAAAGGGGGGCACGUGCCCCUUGCGCCACGUUUGAAGGGGCGCUGAAAUGGGAGAAUGAGAGUAAAAAAAUAAGCACUUUUUUGAAAAACACGACGAAAUUAAUGUACUCCGUCAGGCAUGAAUAUUUUAAU